AUUGCACGCUGGCGGCAUGCCUUACACAUGCAAGUCGAACGGUAACGCGGGGCAACCUGGCGACGAGUGGCGUACGGGUGAGUAAUGCAUCGGAACGUGCCCAGUAGUGGGGGAUAGCCCGGCGAAAGCCGGAUUAAUACCGCAUACGACCUAAGGGUGAAAGGGGGGGAUCGCAGGACCUCUCGCUAUUGGAGCGGCCGAUGUCAGAUUAGGUAGUUGGUGGGGUAAAGGCCUACCAAGCCGACGAUCUGUAGCUGGUCUGAGAGGACGACCAGCCACACUGGGACUGAGACACGGCCCAGACUCCUACGGGAGGCAGCAGUGGGGAAUUUUGGACAAUGGACGCAAGUCUGAUCCAGCCAUGCCGCGUGCGGGAAGAAGGCCUUCGGGUUGUAAACCGCUUUUGUCAGGGAAGAAAUCUUCUGGGUUAAUACCUCGGGAGGAUGACGGUACCUGAAGAAUAAGCACCGGCUAACUACGUGCCAGCAGCCGCCGUAA
rnacentral:rRNA from 1 species